rnacentral:rRNA from 1 species
GUCGGGAGUUAAGAAAUGUAGACUCGCUAAUAUCGGGUCUAUUUGACAAAGGCUCCAAAGGAAGCCACGGCUAACUCUGUGCCAGCAGCCGCGGUAAUACAGAGGUGGCAAGCGUUGUUCGGAAUUAUUGGGCGUAAAGAGCACGUAGGUGGAUUUGUAAGUCAGACGUGAAAGCCUUCUGUUCAACGGAAGAAUUGCAUCUGAAACUACAAACCUUGAGUGUAGGAGGGGAGAGUGGAACUUCUGGU